GUGCUUGUCAACAGGAGAAGGAGUUCACGGUGAAGAGCAGCCGCCACACCGAAGCGACACAGCGGGAUGCUGCGUGCGUAAAGACUCCUCCUCCUCCUUUAGGUCCAGCCUGCUCCGUUCAGUGUGUCAUCUCUAUGGUUUCUCAGGUCAGGAUCAUGAUCAGACUCCUGGUGCAUUUAGCAGCUCUGCGGUUCUGUUUAUCAGAACCCUCAAAGAACAGUGUUGCUCAGAGUCCCGGUGCUCUGAUCAAACACCCCGGAGAAGAAGUCCGGAUAGAUUGUAACCACUCGAACACGGAUUUCAAUAUGAUCCAGUGGUACAAACAGUCUGCCGGGGAGAGCGACAUGCUCCUGGUUGGCUACGUACGAUUCAACUUCCCGGUCUUGGAAGCUCCGUUCAAGGACUCGUACAACGUGAGCGGUAACGGGGGAAGUCGCGCUUGUCUCCACAUCCCAAAGCCGGGUGUCCCGGAGGACGGGGCCGUGUACUUCUGCGCUGCCAGUAGAGCACAGUGCUGCACAGCUCCGAGUCUUUGACACAAAACACACACCAUAAACCACAGAAGGGGUGACUGACGUAUCACACAGCUGGAGUCUUAUUUCAUGCUGCAGUGAGAGGAGUCGGUUUAGGUCUAUUUUUUUUUUAUCGCGUUGAUCGAUCGGUGAGUGAUCAAUUAAUCGGUUAAUCAGAGGAAGGUCACACGCGAUUCACAGAAAUCACACGAUUUCAUCAAGGCAUUGAAAAAUGUAUUAAACUUUCAAUAAAAGUACAGCUCAUUGUUAUUUCUCAUUAUAUAAAUCACUUUCUAUAUAUAUAAAUGUUUAAUCAAAACAUUUGAUGAGUAUAUAUCUAUUGUUCCAGUAGGUGGCGCAGGAGCUGCAGAAAUACUCUUGAGUUCAACACAUGCAGCAGUAUUAAAACAUGAUAUGUAAAAUGGGAUGGGAGGGUAAUGAAGGGUUUUCUUUGCAGCUUCCGUCUUUGUCAGUUGACGUAUCAGCUCAUGUUGUGACGUCAUAGCAGCUCACGUCUGAAAGGCUCUUCACGCACUGUGAUAAGUCAUGAAAGGAGCUUUGAGAGUCUUUAUUUUAGUCAAAAUGAUCUGCUUUCUCCUCUUCUGUUGUCUGGCAGGGUGUCUGGGUCUAGAUGUCCGUCAGUCCGUCUCAGAUCUCAUCAUGAAACCUGGGGACGAAGAGCAGAUUUCCUGCAGCCAUGACAGGACCGACUACAGACAGAUGCUCUGGUACCAGCAGUCCCCUGGAGACACG